UACGUAGGGACCGAGCGUUGUCCGGAUUCAUUGGGCGUAAAGAGCUCGUAGGCGGCUGUUCAAGUCGAACGUGAAAACUCGGAGCUCAACUCCGAGCCUGCGUUCGAUACUGGACGGCUAGAGUCUGGUAGGGGGAUCUGGAAUUCCUGGUGUAGCGGUGGAAUGCGCAGAUAUCAGGAGGAACACCGGUGGCGAAGGCGGGAUCCUGGGCCAGUACUGACGCUGAGCCGCGAAAGCCAGGGGAGCGAACGGG
rnacentral:rRNA from 1 species